rnacentral:rRNA from 1 species
AGAGUUUGAUCAUGGCUCAGGAUGAACGCUGGCGGCGUGCCUAACACAUGCAAGUCGAGCGAGAAACUUUUCAGAAGAUUCUUCGGAUGAUUCAGAGAAGUGGACAGCGGCGGACGGGUGAGUAACGCGUGGGCAACCUGCCCCUGACCGGAGGAUAGCCAAAGGAAACUUUGAAUAAUACUCCAUGAUGCUGCGAGGUCACAUGAUCAUGCAGCCAAAGAUUUAUCGGUGAGGGAUGGGCCCGCGUCUGAUUAGCCAGUUGGUGAGGUAGCGGCUCACCAAAGCGACGAUCGGUAGCCGGCCUGAGAGGGUGAACGGCCACAUUGGAACUGAGACACGGUCCAGACUCCUACGGGAGGCAGCAGUGGGGAGUAUUGCACAAUGGGGGGAGCCCUGAUGCACCCACCGCCGCGUGAAGGAAGAAUGUUUUCGGAUCGUAAACUUCUGUCCCUGGGGAAGAAGAAGUGACGGUACCCAAGGAGGAAGCCCCGGCUAACUACGUGCCAGCAGCCGCGGUAAUACGUAGGGGGCGAGCGUUAUCCGGAAUUACUGGGCGUAAAGAGUGCGUAGGUGGUCAUGCAAGCGCGGGGUUUAAGGCUAGGGCCUAACCGUAGUUCGCCCCGCGAACUGCGUGACUUGAGUACAGGAGGGGAAAGCGGAAUUCCUAGUGUAGCGGUGAAAUGCGUAGAUAUUAGGAGGACACCGGUGGCGAAGGCGGCUUUCUGGACUGAAACUGACACUGASGCACGAAAGCGUGGGUAGCAAACAGGAUUAGAUACCCUGGUAGUCCACGCCGUAAACGAUGAGCACUAGGUGUCGGGCACGAGAGUGUUCGGUGCCGGAGCAAACGCAUUAAGUGCUCCGCCUGGGGAGUACGCACGCAAGUGUAAAACUCAAAGGAAUUGACGGGGACCCGCACAAGCAGCGGAGCAUGUGGUUUAAUUCGAAGCAACGCGAAGAACCUUACCAGGGCUUGACGUCCUGCUGAAAGGUCGGGCAACGCCGACCCCUCUUCGGACAGCAGAGACAGGUGGUGCACGGUUGUCGUCAGCUCGUGUCGUGAGAUGUUGGGUCAAGUCCCGCAACGAGCGCAACCCUUGCUGCUAGUUGCCAUCAGUGAGUUGGGCACUCUAGCAGGACUGCCGGGGACAACCCGGAGGAAGGCGGGGAUGACGUCAAAUCAUCAUGCCCCUUAUGUUCUGGGCGACACACGUGCUACAAUGGACGGUACAGAGGGAAGCGAGACAGUGAUGUUGAGCGGAUCCCGAAAAGCCGUUCUCAGUUCGGAUUGAAGUCUGCAAUUCGACUUCAUGAAGCUGGAAUCGCUAGUAAUCGCAGAUCAGCCAAGCUGCGGUGAAUCCGUUCCCGGGCCUUGUACACACCGCCCGUCACACCACCCGAGCCGGGUGUACCCGAAGCCGGUGGCCUAACCGAAAGGGAGGAGCCGUCGAAGGUGUGUCUGGUGAGGGGGGUGAAGUCGUAACAAGGUAACCGUA